rnacentral:lncRNA from 1 species
UGCCGGGGCUACAGGUUGAUAAUAAUUUUAAUUGGGUUUCAUGGACUGAAUUAAAAAAAUAUUCUAUUUUCUGCAUAUUAAAGAAGGUCAAUUUGAGUUUGUCUAUUUAGCUAGCAAAAGAAAGUUCAUUAUAAGUCUGAAGAAAAAUAAUUGAUUAAUUUGAUAUUAUGCUGAAAACAACUGAUGUUUGUUUUCUUGUUUCAGAAAAAAUUCCAAAUUGUAAUGCAGAUGCAUUAAUAUAGUCUGCCUGUUUUAGUGGAUUAGCCCUUACAUUAAAGGUAAUGCUUCAUUUGUUUAGGAAAUAUGAAUAGCUUAAUUAAUAUUCUUUCUUUUUACAGAGCUGAUCUGGUAAUUUCAGUGUUAGUGUGUGUGUGUGUGUUAGAUGCAGUAGGUGGAAGGGGCUGGAGGAGCUAGCAGAUAAUGAAAAGGAUUAUGCUAUUCACAAACAUUAAAAAGGUAAAUUGAAAAAUACUGUUUUUUGUUAAAAUUAAAAUAUAUUCAACUUUUUUCUUAUUAUUUCAGGUAGGGUAGGUCAUCGUGGGAAGAAGAGGAUUCGCCGAAUAUAUAUCAUCGGUAUGAGUUUGAUGUAAUUUUCAUUUGUGCCCCUUUUGGGAGGCUGAUAUUUUUUAUGUGUACUUUUUCUAUCGCUUGUUUGAAAUUCUUUUUCACAUCAAGUGACAAAAGAACGCGAAUUUUUAGGUACUUCAGCAAGUGUAGUGAUGUGAUGCUGAUGUUUACAAAACAUUGUAAGUUAUUUUUUAUUUCACACUUGAUUAUUUUUUCUUCUGACAUAUUCACUUGUUUCAGGAACGACGAGAUUUCUUAGAUUAUCAACGACAACUGACCGAAACAAUCGAGCUAUUAUAUUAAGUUAAUUUUUGUUUUUUUGUUUCUGUUACAGAUUCAAUCACCCCGUCUCUCUAUUCUACUUACUAAGGUUAGAAAUUUAAAUGGAAAGAAGACAAAUUUCACAAUCUGUGAAGUACCUAGAAGAAGACCAAGGUACAUCAUACUUUGCAUCUCGAGGCUGUCUUUCGCAUAAAAGGAGAAUGAGCCAUUGAAAGAAUAAACAACAAAGAAAAUACACAAGAAGCAGACGGUUAUAACGAUGUAAAUUAACUUAUUUAAUUAAGAAACAAAUUGUUAUUAAUACUUUGUCUUGUUUUUCCAUAGGCAGGUUAUACGUAUGUAAUAAUCGAGAAUUGAGAUGUAAUAAUCAUAAUCAACGAUAUCAGCGAUUUCAAACAAGGUAACUAAUAAUUAUAAUUUUUUUUAUUUUUUCUUGCUUGUCGAUUUUGAAACUUGUAUUGUUUAAUUGUAUCUUUCGUUUUAUAUUUACAGGGUCAUUGCGUUUGUGUUUAUUAUAAUUAGAAGAACGAACUUUACGUGGGGGAGUAAACAGGCGAAUAUGGUGUGGUACGAAGUGUAAUGGGCAGAGAAUGAAGAGGAUUUUGCUAUUCACAAUCGAUAAAAAGGUAGGGUAGGUCAUCGUGGGAACAAGAGGAUUUGCCGGACUUUCGGUAUGAGUACGAUGCAUUUUAUGCAAAUAAGUUGAGCCAAAAAUACGGGGGUUAAUAGCCUUCUAUUCGAUGUAAAAUCGAACCGACGUUUCGCAUUCUACUAUGGAAUUUUAUCAGGGCUACAGAAGGUGUUCUUAAUGUUACACAUUGUUGUUAAUAAUUGCAGCAUACUAGUUUUUUUUGGUUGGUUAUUGUACUGUUCAAAUGUUGUCUCUUUUGUGGAGUCGGUAACUAACUAAACAACCUAGUAAGUUACAAUUAUUAAUAACGAUGUGUAACAUUAAGAACACCUUUUGUAGUGCUGAUUGAAACCUCCUAAUAGAAGGCCAAAUGUACCUAGGUUAGGUUUUACAUCGAAUAAAAAUUUAUUCACAAUAUCCUAACCGAAGGUACGAUAUUUUUUCUUGAUUUGAGGGACGAAAGCACAACAUUCCCACCAGGAUAAGAAAUCGCAUUUACUCUUUAUUAGAAAAGGCUUUUAACAUCCUCCGAGUCGUUUCCACUAGAAGGAUGUUAAAAUACUUUUCUCGUAAAUAGUAAAUGGUGUUUCUUACCUGGGAGGUUAUGUUGAGCUUAAGUCCCUAAAAUGAGGAAAAAUACUACUUUCGGUUAAGGUAUAUCCCAAAAUUGUAUGCGGGCCUCGUGAAAAAACUACUAUACCCCCUCCUAGGAGGGAGUAUCGUACUUGCUUCCCUUGGUGUGUAAUAUACUAUUUUAUUCGAUCUAAAACACAAUCGACGUUUCGCUUUCUAUUAAGGGUUUUAUCAAUGCUACAAAAAAUGCUCUUAAUAUUACACAUUGUUGUUAAUAAUUGCAGCAUACUAGUUUUUUUUGGUUGGUUAUUGUGGUGUUCAAAUGUUGUCUCUUUUGUGGAGUCGGUAACUAACUAAACAACCUAGUAAGUUACAAUUAUUAAUAACGAUGUGUAACAUUAAGAACAGCUUUUGUAGUGUUGAUUGAAAUCUCCUCAUAGAAGGCCAAAUGUACCUAGGUUAGGUUUUACAUCGAAUAAAAAUUUAUUCAUCAUACCCCAACCGAAAGUGCGAUACUUUUUCUUGGUUUCAGGGACGAAAGCGCAAUAUCAUCCCCACCAUGGUAAGAAAUCGUAUUUACUACUUAUAAGGAAAGACUUUUAACAUCCUCCGAGUUGUUUCCACUCGAAGGAUGUUAAAAUACUUUUCUAGUAAAUAGUAAAUGGCGUUUCUUAGCUGGUAGGUUAUGUUGCGCUUACAUCCCUAAAAUUAGGAUAAAUACUAUUUUCGGUUUGGGUAUUGUACAGAAAGUGUGAAUCUGAUUUCAAGGACAAGAAAGUCCAACAUAACCUCCUUGUAUUUACUCGAUGGGAGUUCCUACCCGAGAGAGAAUGUUGAGCUUUCUUUUCUGAAAUUAGACGAUAGGGUAUCUUUAAAAAAAAAUUAACCCCGUCUUUUUUACCCGAUUUAUUUGCAUUCUUCAGAUGAGGAGUAUUAUAGGGAUCCAUUUAUUCUGAUAUUCUUUUGUAAUUUACAAAAGAACAAGGCAUAUUUCUUUUAUUGUUUUGUAUUUGUUUAAUAACUUCGUACAAGACGAUGUUGGUAAGUUUUUAUCCUUAAAAAUUAUUUCUUUAUUGAAUGUUGACUUUACAGGACUUUAUCAUGAUUUCCCGGAGUUUCGUACCCGAAGCGUGAAAAUUGCAGCCAAAUCCAUCUCCGCGUCGGACAGCCGUUGAAUUUUCUGCUUCUAAUGUGUAUAUAUAUAUACGUAUUGUGUAAUAAAGGUUGGUCCAAAAAAUACCACGGGGGCCUAUAAUAAUGUUUGUUUUAUAUGUACAUUUACUUGUAUAAUGCGACUCUAAAAGGGAGGGGGACUGGGGAUCUAUUUAAAGCGGUUCUUGUGAUUAUAAUGGAAACAAGAACAGUCACAACUAAUUGUUCUAUUUCUACCCUAAUAAAAUUUCGUAAAAAAUCGGCGCUUGCAUUACAAACACAACAUAUUUUCUGUUAGACGUUAAAUUUUCCAAUUUUUUUGUGUCUCUAGUUGUAUUCCUGUAGCUUGAAUUAUUUUAACUGUACAAGUCUCCAUAGACAUUUGUUAUGUACAAUUAUAGCAAAAAUAUAAAUGACAAUUUUGUAGCAAAUCUUAUCCGCCUACAAAAAGAGUUCUAUGGAUCAGACCUUUAAUAGUGUUUACAAUUUAGAUAAUAUUGAGACUUUAUCUUUUAUAUAUAAAACUCAAUUUUAAAUUUAAAAGCAUGUAUGAUAAGCCUCUACCUCCGCCAAACUAUAGACAUUACAUAUUUGAUUUAUAGAACAUUUUUUGUAAUGAAUAAACUUCGUUACAAAAUUAUCACAUACAGCGAUUUAACGAUUUAAGUUUGUGAUUUUAAUUUAUUUAUAUUGUAAAGUUACACUUAUCUAGCGUAUUAUAUCAUAAUACAACCGAUACCUAAUCCACAUCAUUUGGAAACCAAUAUUUUUUAACAUAAAAACUUUUCUCAAAAAAGUCUAAGAAUUAAAGACAAAACGUUGGUUUUUGAUAAAAUAGAAACUUUUCUCCUUAAAAAGUAGCGCGAUUCCACAUUCAAUUAUCGUUUACAUUUUUGCUUAUUAAUUUUAUCGUACAUAAUUAAUGUUUUUCGAAAUUCGUACAUGUUGCAGUAACAGUUACGUUUUUGUGCUGCUAACAAAUAACAGUUCGAUUUACAGCAUUCAAUAAAAAAACUACUUACAUCGAUUUUAUUAUAAUUAUCAUACUUGAUGAAAAUUUAGGAAAUGAAGCUAUAAACAGUUGUGUUUGUAAUUAUAUGCUAAUUUAGUAAAUACUUAACUUUUAAUGUGUAUUUUGCAAGUAUGGAUUAUUUCCCUACAUUUAACAUCUACUGCUUUAUUCAAACGGUAAAAACUCACCUUAUUAUUUCAGUAUUAUAUUAUUAUAACACCAUUAACAUAAAAAUUACGGUGAAAAAUAAUUCAUUGAUGUGACAUUUAUUAUAUUCUUAUGAAAAAUAAGAAUUAUCGCGGCGGCAAUUUAUUAUUAUUUAUUUAUUUACAGACAGAUCAAAUGCGAAUUUUCAAAAAGGAGAUUUUUAUUAUUGUUUCAGUGAGAGCGAGCUUGUAAAAUGGAAAUAAGUGCAUUUCAUUACGUUCGAUGUACUUAAAAUUAUUGUUAAGGUAUACAGAUACUGUUUAUUAUUAUUGUAAAAUUCGAUUUAAAAAAUACGAGAGAGAAAACGCGUGGUAUGAUGUGUGUCGGAAAAACGGCGUCUUUAAUUAAGCGCAGGGUAUGACUGGGAUGAUGAUAGCGUCGCGACGGUACACUGAAAACUGGUUCAGGUUCGGAUCACAGAUAUGCGUAGUACGGUAUUGUAAGGACGAGAGUCCUUUCGGUUAUUUUCGUUCGACGAAAAACCAAUCACAUUUCACGAUGAUAGAGACGACGACGAGUCAGAUAAUAUAUAAACAAACUUGUCACAGUUUACGCUGCCAUCAAUUUUGACCGCGUCGCAGAUUUACCAAAUAUAGAAUAGUCAUUAGUGAUAAAAAUUCCAUAUCAAUUAUGCCCACAUUAUUAGAGUUCAGACCCUAGACAUUACGGCUUUAAAAUCGAAUUAAAAGCUGUUGCUAAUCUAGACUAAAAGAUUGACCCCCCCUGCCCAAAUGAAGAGGUCACUGGCAUAUUUAGUCGAUCAUUACGACGAGUAGAAAAAGAUCAUCAAGUCAAAACGUAAAUUCGACCGCUCUGUACAAAUCGAAACCCCAGGACGAGGAGGGGGAACUUUUACCCAUCGCAGCCUAACCUACCCUACCAAAUAUUUAUUAUUUCUUUAUUCCUUGUACGAUGAAAAUAUUAUCGAUUGCUAAGCAUAAGAGUAAAGCCGCCUGGCUGUAGUUAUAUGUGUCAUGUUUAAUAUGUUUAUUUUGGCUAAUCUGUAAACUAGCCAAGCAUAAUAGUGUACAAACUGUUCAAAUGUCUGAUUUAGUGGAUACGUUUAGAAUUAUAAGGUUACAGUAAGAGAAGUGAGUGUUGUUUACUUCUACCGUCUAAUGAUCCCAAACAUAUUCUUCAAAUUAAUCAUACAUUUGGAUAGUUUGUAUACUAUCCAGCUAGGUCCCAAAUUAUCCAAAGUAAUUAUAUCAAAAACCAAAGUUUUAAUCUUAUGAUUAGUAAUCGAUAGUAUACAUUUUUUAACACAUUAUCCUACGAUAAUUUUCCUCCAAAAAAAUUCAAAAGUUUUUGAAAUUUUGGUAAAAAUACUACUCUCCUACUUCACAGACGUAACAUUUUCAUCGAAAAAUGAAUACUAUCCAGGGUAGUUUAGAUUGUGAUGGGUAAAAGUUCCCCUCGCCCUUGGGUUUCGAUUUGUACACAGCGGUGGAAUUUACAUUUUCUUACUUGUGGUAAUGAUCGACCGACUAUGCCAUUGUCUUUUUCAUUUGAGGGGAUGGGGGGGUUAAUGUUUUAAUGUAGUUUAACGAUAGUUUUCUUUUGGUAGUGUGAUGAACUGCCCCAUAUUGCACAACCACCGUAUAGACGUCAACGUAUUAAUUAAAAUUAAUGUAACUAUUCUUGGAAAUUCGUUUUUUCAAUGUUAAGUUCGUUCAAAUGGAAACAUCGACCUUAUUGCGUGAAUGAGCAUCUAAAGAAAUUAUAAACUUCGGAAAUUUGUGGCAAAGGAAAUCUACCGAUUGAUUUUUUUGUUUUAUUUUUCCGAAAAAUAUUCAAACAAGUUAAAAAUACAUUACGGUAACACAACAACCAUAAAGCAGCAAACUUAAUUAAACGUAAAUGUAGCAAUCUGAUGAAAUAUCGCAAAAUAUAUCUAGGUAUAAAAUUAACGUACGACGUUAUGCGAUAUUAUGUCGUACUUACUCGAAAUUUGACUUGGGAUUGAAACAAGUCUCCGAGUAGCGAAUUAUUUCCUUUUCGGGCUUUAAUUACUAUUUGCAGCCUUCAAGGCAUCUUAGUAAUAACAUUCUUAAUGGUUUCUCGAGGAAUUUCACCCCAUUAUUCUUACACUGCAUUUCGCAGUUCGUUCUCGCUCUCCUACCGAAUUUCCCUAUUUUACCAUCUACAUACAUUUGUGUAUUAUGUAGUAAUAAAAAUCCUAUAACGUUUCCGUUUUCUGUCGUUGUGCCAUGACAAAAAAUGCACUAAAAUACCUUUUAUCGCCUUAUUGACUAGUUGGAAAUGUACGCACGCUAACACAGCAAGCAGUUCUCUAAAACCACCCCACUAAGUACGUUUAUCUGCAUCCGAAAUCCCCUUUAACCCUUAUCAACCUCCAUCAUUUGGUUAAUGCUCACGCAAAAACAUCGCAAGCCUUCCCGUGCGCUACAUUAAAUCGAAAAUUUCGAUGGUUUUGCUUGCGAUUACAAAAUGAAACAUAGCAACUUGCUAGACACCACCGUAACAUUAUUUCUAUUUAAGAAUAAUAUUUUCUAUUUUAGCAACUUGGCAUGUUUUUUUUUCCAUUUUAUACCAAUUAGUAAUAUUAAAGGCAGGGCCGCUUUAGAAAUAGAUUUACAGGGAUAAAAUAGGAGACCAGAGGGUGCGAUGAAUGUCAAUGAGGAAAAUUAGGGGUAGGAUUGUAGGACAUCUCCUGAGACAUGAAGAGUUAUUUGGAGACAUAUUAGAAACUGAAAGAGGAAAUAAGAAGGAUACUGGUAGACCUAGAGUAGAUUACUAUUCACAAGUAGUAGGAAUGAGUGGAGGUGCGGGUCUAAUUAGUCUUAGGACUGACGACCUUAUGGUGAUGAUGAUAGCAGAAUAUCUCAAUUCGAUCUUGGCAUUUUACCGCGUAAAUAUUUCGUAUAUUAAUUUCGGUCCUAACUAUUAACACAUGCAAAUUAUUAGCCGGGGUAGAAUAAUUUAAUUAUUUAUGGAUUACUUCCUUUAGCAGCAACAUAACUAACUUGUACCGUCGUACUCGCAGUUAUCGCCUAGCGGAAUUUCGUCUAAUCUAUGGUAAAUUUUCUUAAUGAAAUCUGAUGUGCUAGUUUAAUAAAUUUCUUCCGGCAUAAUUGGCAAUAAUUGGAUUCUGCAAUGUUGGUACGUUCUAACUAUUAGCUCACCCCUCACGCGUGCUCAAAUGUAUAAAUUUAUGUACAUAAAUAUGGAUACAUUUACAUCAAAAAAAAAAAAAAAUAAA